rnacentral:rRNA from 1 species
GAACGCUUUUUCUUUCACCGGAGCUUGCUCCACCGAAAGAAAAGGAGUGGCGAACGGGUGAGUAACACGUGGGUAACCUGCCCAUCAGAAGGGGAUAACACUUGGAAACAGGUGCUAAUACCGUAUAACAAUCGAAACCGCAUGGUUUCGGUUUGAAAGGCGCUUUUGCGUCACUGGUGGAUGGACCCGCGGUGCAUUAGCUAGUUGGUGAGGUAACGGCUCACCAAGGCAACGAUGCAUAGCCGACCUGAGAGGGUGAUCGGCCACAUUGGGACUGAGACACGGCCCAAACUCCUACGGGAGGCAGCAGUAGGGAAUCUUCGGCAAUGGACGCAAGUCUGACCGAGCAACGCCGCGUGAGUGAAGAAGGUUUUCGGAUCGUAAAACUCUGUUGUUAGAGAAGAACAAGGAUGAGAGUAAAAUGUUCAUCCCUUGACGGUAUCUAACCAGAAAGCCACGGCUAACUACGUGCCAGCAGCCGCGGUAAUACGUAGGUGGCAAGCGUUGUCCGGAUUUAUUGGGCGUAAAGCGAGCGCAGGCGGUUUCUUAAGUCUGAUGUGAAAGCCCCCGGCUCAACCGGGGAGGGUCAUUGGAAACUGGGAAACUUGAGUGCAGAAGAGGAGAGUGGAAUUCCAUGUGUAGCGGUGAAAUGCGUAGAUAUAUGGAGGAACAC